UGUUCUGAGGAUACACAGACAUCAUCCAAAACUUCCUACAUUCAGAUGAAGAGGUUGGACCAGAGCUUUGCAUGCUUGUUACCUAAGGACGGUUCUGAUCAUGCGAGCAAAUCACAGAAGGAUCAUGGCUGAAACACAAUCCUGAGUUUACUUCGUGAAAAAAGAAGUAGAAAGUUGAGCAGACAUCUAAUGAAUACAGUCAAGAUGGUUAGUGAAUUUGGAAAAUUCCACUCACAAAAAAUUACGUUCUCUAUUCUGUAGCAGAUUUCCUCUUGGCCUUAAUUAUCCACAGAGUUUUCCAAUUUUCUGAUAGUCUUUACUGUUGCUGACA
rnacentral:lncRNA from 13 species